rnacentral:rRNA from 1 species
GACGUAGGGGGCCAGCGUUGUUCGGAAUUACUGGGUGUAAAGGGUUCGUAGGCGGUGCGGCAAGUCGGGAGUGAAAUCUCUGGGCUUAACCCAGAGGCUGCUUCCGAAACUGCUGUGCUUGAGUGUGGGAGAGGCGCGUGGAAUUGCAGGUGUAGCGGUGAAAUGCGUAGAUAUCUGCAGGAACACCCGUGGCGAAAGCGGCGCGCUGGACCACUACUGACGCUGAGGCACGAAAGCGUGGGUAGCAAACAGG